ensembl:snoRNA Gm23276 small nucleolar RNA SNORA17
CUUAUUCCUAGAGUCAUUACAGGUAUGUCUGUGCUGUAUCACAUGUAUAGUUGUAGGUUGCAGAGGGGAGAGAGGCUAUGACUAUACUCAGUAGUCUGAUUUAUGAACAUCUAAAUGUUUAGUAACCUAACACU